rnacentral:lncRNA from 1 species
GCGUUCGGAGCAGAGGAAGGUGUGACAUGUCCCAGGUGUGUGUUAUCCGGACGGUGCGGGGGAGCCCGGGGGCAGCCGAGCUGCGGGAUGAGCUCUCCCGCACAGACCCGGCUCCUGUCAUUAAAUAACACCCACCGUCCGACCCUCCUGUCGCACCAGUGUCACCCCCCCGACCUGCAUUAACCUGAUUUUUGUCUCCUUUGCCAGUUCGAGAUCCAGUGGAUGGUGAUUCACUGCGACCCGCUGCGGCCCCAGCGCGAAGGCUGCGGGGAGCUGCCGGCCCGGGUGAGCCCCCGACCCCGCCCGCGGGACACUCGCUCUUACUCUCCAUUUCUGGCCCCAAACGCCUGUUUUUACCAUACCUGCCUGGAAUUGGGUCCCUUUAGCAACCCACCCCUCCCCAGAGCAGCCGCCUCAUUUUAACCCUUCCGUGACUGACGUUCUCACCCCCCCACAGCCACUCCCGGGGCAGGCGGCCGGCGGCUCUGCCUCGCCCGGGGGUUUUGGCGGCCGCCGCCUCAGCGGGGAGCCCGACGGCGGGGAACCCGUGGCGGGGGCGGUGGGCAGGCGGGGGUGGGUGCCCACCAGAACAGCAGCAGGGCAAAGGGUUAAGGCGCUGCCUUCUGGCAUUCAGUCCUCCCCUUCCCAGCCUUCAGCCUUCCCCCAGUCCCCGCGACCCUCCCCCGAGGCGUUCGCCCGCCGCCUUGAGGGGCUGCAGCCGCCGGGCCCACCUUUCGGCAGCCGCCCGCCCCAGCCGCCGCCGGCCGGUCCCCCCCAUCGCCAUGGCCCCGGCUCUGCGCGGCCUCUGGCUGCCGGGGCUUUUCCUGCAGGUUGUUUGCCUCUGUCUGGCUCAAGUAAGUUCAUUCCGAGUUUUGACUCUGUUUUUUCUCCUUCGCAGAUCAGCCAGACGGUAAUCGAGAGAGGUCUCCCCGGUCCACCAGGCCCCCCGGGUCCGCCGGGGCCACCAGGAGUUCCUGGUAUUGAUGGCAUAGAUGGGGAGAGAGGUCCGAACGGCCCCCCUGGUCCACCGGGUCCAGAUGGGGAUGCAGGCAAACCAGGAUCCCCUGGCCUGCCUGGAGAGCCAGGAGCUGAUGUGAGUACACACUUGAUUUCUUGAUUUCUUUAAUUUCCUUUUUUUUUUUUUUUUUUGAAAAAUACUUGGGUUUAGUCUAUUGCUG